CGGAUUGAAGGCUGAAAUUCGCCUUCAUGAAGCCGGAAUUGCUGUAAUGGCAGGUCAGCAUACUGCCGUGAAUACGUUCCCGGGCCCUUGUACACACCGCCCGUCACACCAUGAGAGUUGGGAAUACCCGAAGCCUGUGAGCUAACUUAUAGAGGCAGCAGUCGAAGGUAGAAUCAAUGAUUGGGGUGAAGUCGUAACAAGGUAAC
rnacentral:rRNA from 1 species